rnacentral:rRNA from 1 species
GACGAACGCUGGCGGCGUGCUUAACACAUGCAAGUCGAACGGAAAGGCCCUGCUUGCAGGGUACUCGAGUGGCGAACGGGUGAGUAACACGCGGGUGAUCUGCCCUGCACUUCGGGAUAAGCCUGGGAAACUGGGUCUAAUACUGGAUAGGAGCCAUCCUUAGUGUGAUGGUUGGAAAGUCUUUUCGGUGUAGGAUGAGCUUGGGGCCUACCAGCUUGUUGGUGGGGUAAUGGCCUACCAAGGCGGCGGCGGGUAGCCGGCCUGGGAGGGUGGACGGCCACAUUAGGACUGAGGUACGGCCCAGACUCGUACGGGGAGCAGCAGGGGGGAAUAUAGCAGAAUGGGCGCAAGCCUGAUGCAGCGGCGCCGCGUGGGGGAUGACAGCCUUCGGGUUGUAAACGCCUUUCGCUAGGGACGAAGCUUUUUGUGACGGUACCUAGAUAAGAAGCACCGGCUAACUACGUG